rnacentral:rRNA from 1 species
UACGAGGGAUGCAAGCGUUAUCCGGAAUUAUUGGCCCUAAAGCGUUUGUAGGCGGGCGAGUGUGUUUAAUGUUAAAUCUUAAAGCUCAACUUUGAAAUUGCGUUAAAAACUGCUUGUCUUGGGUAUGGUAGGGGUAAAGGGAAUUCCCAGUGUAGCGGUGAAAUGCGUAGAUAUUGGGAAGAACACUAAACAGCGAAGGCACUUUACUAGGCUAAUACUGACGCUGAGAAACGAAAGGUAAGGUAGCGAAACGGAUUAGAUACCCGUGUAGUCUUACCCGUAAACUAUGGACACUAAACGGUAAAUUUUUAAUUUACUGUUAAAGCUAACGCGUUAAGUGUCCCGCCUGGGGAGUAUGCUUGCAAAAGUGAAACUCAAAGGAAUUGACGGGGGCCCGCACAAGCGGUGGAGCAUGUGGUUUAAUUCGACGGUACACGAAGAACCUUACCAGGAUUUGACAUGCUAGAUAGUUGCUUGAAAGAGUAACGUGUCGUAAGGAAUCUAGACACAGGUGGUGCAUGGCUGUCGUCAGUUCGUGUUGUGAAAUGUUGGGUUAAGUCCCGCAACGAACGCAACCCUUGUCUUUAGUUAUUUUCUAAAGAGACUGCCUGUAAUAAACAGGAGGAAGGUAAGGAUGAGGUCAAGUCAUCAUGCCCCUUAUGUCCUGGGCUACACACGUGCUACAGUGGCGCAUACAGAGGGACGCCAAACCGCGAGGUGGAGCAGACCCCAGAAAGCGCGUCGUAGUUCGGAUUGCAGUCUGCAACUCGACUGCAUGAAGUCGGAAUCGCUAGUAAUCGCGGAUCAGCAUGCCGCGGUGAAUACGUUCCCGGGCCU